rnacentral:sRNA from 1 species
UGGGCGAUCCAACUGCCUGCCCCAAAACGGGCCAUGGUACCAACCCCAUCGCCAGCGGAUCGCCAGACGU